AUACGUAGGGGGCGAGCGUUGUCCGGAAUGAUUGGGCGUAAAGGGCGCGUAGGCGGCCCGGUAAGUCUGGAGUGAAAGUCCUGUUUUUAAGAUGGGAAUUGCUUUGGAUACUGUCGGGCUUGAGUGCAGGAGAGGUAAGUGGAAUUCCCAGUGUAGCGGUGAAAUGCGUAGAGAUUGGGAGGAACACCAGUGGUGAAGGCGGCUUACUGGACUGUAACUGACGCUGAGGCGCGAAAGUGUGGGGAGCAAACAGGAUUAGAUACCCUGGUAGUCCACACUGUAAACGAUGAAUGCUAGGUGUAAGAGGUAUCGACCCCUUUUGUGCCGGAGUCAACACAAUAAGCAUUCCGCCUGGGGAGUACGGCCGCAAGGUUGAAACUCAAAUGAAUUGACGGGG
rnacentral:rRNA from 1 species